AGAGUUUGAUUAUGGCUCAGGAUGAACGCUAGCGACAGGCUUAACACAUGCAAGUCGAGGGGCAGCAUAAAAGUAGCAAUACUUGGUGGCGACCGGCGCACGGGUGAGUAACGCGUAUGCAACCUACCUAUCAGAGGGGAAUAACCCGGCGAAAGUCGGACUAAUACCGCAUAAAACAGGGGCACCGCAUGGUGAUAUUUGUUAAAGAAAUUCGCUGAUAGAUGGGCAUGCGUUCCAUUAGGUAGUUGGUGAGGUAACGGCUCACCAAGCCGACGAUGGAUAGGGGAACUGAGAGGUUGGUCCCCCACACUGGUACUGAGACACGGACCAGACUCCUACGGGAGGCAGCAGUGAGGAAUAUUGGUCAAUGGGCGGGAGCCUGAACCAGCCAAGUCGCGUGAAGGAAGAAGGAUCUAUGGUUCGUAAACUUCUUUUGCAGGGGAAUAAAGUGCAGGACGUGUCCUGUUUUGUAUGUACCCUGAGAAUAAGGAUCGGCUAACUCCGUGCCAGCCGCCGC
rnacentral:rRNA from 1 species